GCAGCCCCAGAUGAUAUUCCCACCUACACCAGAAGGUCCCAUUACCAAAAAUGGACAACAUGGGAUAACUCGAAAGGAAAAAAAUACAAUUAAUAUCAUAGAAAUGCUCUCUUUAUAAUCACACUGUUUAUGUUCACAUUUGCAAACCAUAGUUGAAUACUUACAAGCAAACCUUCUUUUAGGGCAAGACGCUUUGCAGUUUCAAUUGCUUCGUCACUUGAUAUCUGCAAUAUUGUACAAAUUCAGUUGGGGAACAGUUGGGAUAUUCAAAUUAUUAAUAAGGUUCUGUGUAUCUGCUAAAAUGGCACAAAU
rnacentral:misc_RNA from 1 species